GGUUGUUGAUCAAAUUAUCUAACGGUCCAGAUCACUCCCUUCAACCUUAACUCUAGAGAAGGGCUUGGUUAUCCCAAAAACCUAAAUCAUUUCCUCCAUGACCCAUCUGCCCCUUUUCCUUUUCCUCUCUAUUCUCUCAACCCUACAACUGCAUCAAUCCUCAAAACCUUGCACAAAUCCGUGCAAGGUCAGCAAAUCAACUACGAAAUCAUAUCCUUUAUCCCCGCUAGCCGCAAUUCACGCUUGGAUAUUUCCUCUUUCAUUGUUAUAAUUCAAAAUCUUAAAUAAAAACAUAGGUCUAAAAUGAUGACUUGGGUUUUCAUCCGUUUUUGGAUCUGUGCUUUCAAAUGGAAGCAUGCAUGGAGAUAAUAUCUAGCUUCAUCAUAGUUAUUCGAUGUCCAGAGAUCAAAUCCAGUGCUUCUUGGGUCUAUAGAGACGAUUUUACCUAAAAUCGAAGCUUGUUUCUUGUCCCUUACAUCGGAAACCACCGUGGGUGAAAGGGUCGAGUGAGAGAGAAGAGAGAGUAGUCAGGGUAGAGAGAAUUUUAAUGAAAAAAUAAAAAAAAGUAUUAAGAUAAAGAUAAUAAAAAAGGAAAAAAAAAUGUGACCAAAUAUUUGGACGGGGAGAUUUUAGUGGAAAGAAUAAAAUUAGGAAAAAUAAAAAAUACACAUAAAAAUAAAAAAAAAUAAGAUAAAAAUAGACUAAAAAAGAGUGAGGGGCUACUACUAGAAAGAAUAAAAUAAUAAAAAGAGAAAAUAACUAUAAAAAAUAAGAUAAGAAAAAAUAAAUAUGAGUGCAUAAUUUUAUUAGAAAGGAAAAAACUAAGUGAAAAAAAAAACAAAUAAAUGAAGAAAAAAAAAAGACAAAAAGCGUAAAAGAAAAUAAAGAAAAAAGGAGAAGGAUCUUUGGUGAAGCCUAUGCGUAGAAAGGAGGGGAUAUACAGGUCUUAAAGUC
rnacentral:lncRNA from 1 species